GUACACUCCUACGGGAGGCAGCAGUGGGGAAUUUUGGACAAUGGGCGAAAGCCUGAUCCAGCAAUGCCGCGUGUGUGAAGAAGGCCUUCGGGUUGUAAAGCACUUUUGUCCGGAAAGAAAUCCUUGGCUCUAAUACAGUCGGGGGAUGACGGUACCGGAAGAAUAAGCACCGGCUAACUACGUGCCAGCAGCCGCGGUAAUACGUAGGGUGCGAGCGUUAAUCGGAAUUACUGGGCGUAAAGCGUGCGCAGGCGGUUUGCUAAGACCGAUGUGAAAUCCCCGGGCUCAACCUGGGAACUGCAUUGGUGACUGGCAGGCUAGAGUAUGGCAGAGGGGGGUAGAAUUCCACGUGUAGCAGUGAAAUGCGUAGAGAUGUGGAGGAAUACCGAUGGCGAAGGCAGCCCCCUGGGCCAAUACUGACGCUCAUGCACGAAAGCGUGGGGAGCAAACAGGAUUAGAUACCCCGGUAGUCCC
rnacentral:rRNA from 1 species